UACAGAGGGUGCGAGCGUUAAUCGGAGUUACUGGGCGUAAAGGGCGCGUAGGCGGUGGACUAAGUUAGUUGUAAAAUCCCUGGGCUUAACCUAGGAGUGACGACUAAUACUGGUUGACUAGAGUACUGUAGAGGGUAGUGGAAUUUCCGGUGUAGCGGUGAAAUGCGUAGAGAUCGGAAGGAACAUCGGUGGCGAAGGCGGCUACCUGGACAGAUACUGACGCUGAGGCGACGAAAGCGUUGGGGAGCAAACAG
rnacentral:rRNA from 1 species